GCCACUGCAUCAGAAGCCAACAACCCGGUUAGUAAUUAAUAAAACAAAAACACGAAAAAAUAAAGGUGUACUUCGCUCCAACUGCAAGUGUUCGGGUGAAAUGCAAAUCAAUGGACUUGGGCAGGCAGGAUAGUAUUAUUUUUUCUUAUCGCCAACAGUAAUAGAGAGUAUACUAUAAGUUUUACCCAAGAAUACAGUACAGCUGUUCAUUUAGUGAACUUAAUUAUGUGCUUUUCCGUUACAAAAUAUUUCUAUAAUACAUCUGGCCAAUGAUAUGCAUUAUUACCCCACUUUUGCUCCUCAUACGUACUAGAUCAUAUGAUAGCGGUUUCCCACCUAUGUAAAUACAGAUGUAUUAACUUGUACUAAGUAUACCGUUUAUCUGAGUCGAGCCAGACACGUAUGGAAACACGACGGAAGACAGACAAACAACAUACGAAAUUUAAAGCAACUGACUGACAUUGCAGCGACGAAAUCAGGCUGGAUAAAUAACAGCAGUUCUAUAGCUACAGCUCUAGCCCUUGUGUGUAGAGCAUUCAUAUUGAGGAUUGUAUUUCUUAUUCAGACAAAUGUUUGCUUAAAGCCGACUUCGUCAAUGGCGUCGUAUAAGCCAAAACACCUGUGCACGUCACGUCGUAUAUAACAUCUCAGUUACAUAUAUGAAUGUAAGGUUUUGUGUGUGGAUCGAGAUAAACGAAGUAUUCGUGGUUAA